CAGGAUGAACGCUGGCGGCGUGCUUAACACAUGCAAGUCGAACGAUGAUCUCCAGCUUGCUGGGGGGAUUAGUGGCGAACGGGUGAGUAACACGUGAGUAACCUGCCCUUGACUCUGGGAUAAGCCUGGGAAACUGGGUCUAAUACCGGAUACGACCGCUCCACGCAUGUGGUGGUGGUGGAAAGCUUUUGCGGUUUUGGAUGGACUCGCGGCCUAUCAGCUUGUUGGUGGGGUAAUGGCCUACCAAGGCGACGACGGGUAGCCGGCCUGAGAGGGUGACCGGCCACACUGGGACUGAGACACGGCCCAGACUCCUACGGGAGGCAGCAGUGGGGAAUAUUGCACAAUGGGCGGAAGCCUGAUGCAGCGACGCCGCGUGAGGGAUGACGGCCUUCGGGUUGUAAACCUCUUUCAGUAGGGAAGAAGCGUAAGUGACGGUACCUGCAGAAGAAGCGCCGGCUAACUACGUGCCAGCAGCCGCGGUAAUACGUAGGGCGCAAGCGUUAUCCGGAAUUAUUGGGCGUAAAGAGCUCGUAGGCGGUUUGUCGCGUCUGCUGUGAAAGACCGGGGCUCAACUCCGGUUCUGCAGUGGGUACGGGCAGACUAGAGUGAUGUAGGGGAGACUGGAAUUCCUGGUGUAGCGGUGAAAUGCGCAGAUAUCAGGAGGAACACCGAUGGCGAAGGCAGGUCUCUGGGCAUAACUGAC
rnacentral:rRNA from 1 species